rnacentral:rRNA from 1 species
UGGGGAAUAUUGGACAAUGGGCGAAAGCCUGAUCCAGCCAUGCCGCGUGUGUGAAGAAGGUCUUCGGAUUGUAAAGCACUUUAAGUUGGGAGGAAGGGCAUUAACCUAAUACGUUAGUGUUUUGACGUUACCGACAGAAUAAGCACCGGCUAACUCUGUGCCAGCAGCCGCGGUAAUACAGAGGGUGCAAGCGUUAAUCGGAAUUACUGGGCGUAAAGCGCGCGUAGGUGGUUAGUUAAGUUGGAUGUGAAAUCCCCGGGCUCAACCUGGGAACUGCAUUCAAAACUGACUGACUAGAGUAUGGUAGAGGGUGGUGGAAUUUCCUGUGUAGCGGUGAAAUGCGUAGAUAUAGGAAGGAACACCAGUGGCGAAGGCGACCACCUGGACUAAUACUGACACUGAGGUGCGAAAGCGUGGGUAGCAAACA